GAUGAACGCUGGCGGCGUGCCUAAUACAUGCAAGUCGAGCGAACAGACGCGGAGCUUGCUCCUCUGACGUUAGCGGCGGACGGGUGAGUAACACGUGGAUACCCUCCCUAUAAGACUGGGAUAACUUCGGGAAACCGGAGCUAAUACCGGAUAAUAUAUUGAACCGCAUGGUUCAAUAGUGAAAGACGGUUUUGCUGUCACUUAUAGCUGGAUCCGCGCCGCAUUAGCUAGUUGGUAAGGUAACGGCUUACCAAGGCAACGAUGCGUAGCCGACCUGAGAGGGGGAUAGGCCACACGGGAGCUGAGACGCGGUCCAGACUCCUACGGGAGGGAGCAGUAGGGAAUGGGCCGCAAUGGGCGAGAGCCUGACGGAGCAACGCCGCGUGAGUGAUGAAGGUCUUCGGAGCGGAAAACUCUGUUAUGAGGGAAGAACAAAUGUGUAAGUAACUAUGCACGUCUUGACGGUACCGAGUCAGAAAGCCACGGCUAACUACGUG
rnacentral:rRNA from 1 species